rnacentral:rRNA from 1 species
AGAUUGAACGCUGGCGGCGGGCCUAACACAUGCAAGUCGAGCGGCAGCACGGGUACUUGUACCUGGUGGCGAGCGGCGGACGGGUGAGUAAUGCCUAGGAAUCUGCCUGGUAGUGGGGGAUAACGCUCGGAAACGGACGCUAAUACCGCAUACGUCCUACGGGAGAAAGCAGGGGACCUUCGGGCCUUGCGCUAUCGAGAUGACGUCCGUAGGUCGGUAUUACGCGUUAGGUUGGUAGUAAGGUAA